GACGAACGCUGGCGGCGCGCCUCAUACAUGCAAGUCGAACGAGAAGCCUGGAGCUUGCUCUGGGUGGAGAGUGGCGAACGGGUGAGGAACACGUGAGGAACCUCGCCCGAAGACUGGGAUAACACCGGGAAACCGGUGCUAAUACCGGAUGUCCUCAUCGGACCGCAUGAUCCGAUGAGGAAAUGGAUUCCGCUUCGGGAUGGCCUCGCGGCCUAUCAGCUUGUUGGUGGGGUAACGGCCCACCAAGGCUUCGACGGGUAGCUGGUCUGAGAGGAUGUCCAGCCACACUGGGACUGAGACACGGCCCAGACUCCUACGGGAGGCAGCAGUAGGGAAUCUUGCGC
rnacentral:rRNA from 1 species